rnacentral:rRNA from 1 species
UACGAAGGGGGCUAGCGUUGCUCGUAAUCACUGGGCGUAAAGCGCACGUAGGCGGGUUGUUCAGUCGGGGGUGAAAUCCUGGAGCUCAACUCCAGAACUGCCUUCGAUACUGGCGACCUUGAGUCCGGGAGAGGUGAGUGGAACUCCGAGUGUAGAGGUGAAAUUCGUAGAUAUUCGCAAGAACACCAGUGGCGAAGGCGGCUCACUGGCCCGAUACUGACGCUGAGGUGCGAAAGCGUGGGGAGCAAACAGG